rnacentral:rRNA from 1 species
CACGUAGGGGACGAGCGUUGUCCGGAUUCAUUGGGCGUAAAGCGCGCGUAGGCGGCUCGGAAAGUCGGUCGUGAAAUGCCGGGGCUCAACCCCGGGACUGCGUCCGAUACUCCCGAGCUGGAGGCAGGUAGGGGAGAUCGGAAUUCCUGGUGUAGCGGUGAAAUGCGUAGAUAUGUGGAGGAACACCGAUGGCGAAGGCAGCCCCCUGGGUUAACACUGACGCUCAUGCACGAAAGCGUGGGGAGCAAACAGG